rnacentral:rRNA from 1 species
UACGUAGGGGGCGAGCGUUGUCCGGAGUUACUGGGCGUAAAGCGCACGCAGGCGGUCUGUUAAGUUUGGAGUGACAGUUGGUGGCUCAACCACCAAAGUGCUUUGAAAACUGAUAGACUUGAGGGCUUCAGAGGGACACGGAAUUCCGGGUGGAGUGGUGAAAUGCGUAGAGAUCCGGAGGAACCCCAGAGGCGAAGGCGGCGUCCUGGCUCACAACUGACGCUCAUACACGACAGCAUGGGGAGCGAACGGG